rnacentral:rRNA from 1 species
UGGGGAAUAUUGCGCAAUGGGCGAAAGCCUGACGCAGCGACGCCGCGUGAGGGAUGAAGGUUUUCGGAUCGUAAACCUCUGUCAGAAGGGAAGAAACCGCACUGUGCUAAUCAGCAGUGCCUUGACGGUACCUUCAAAGGAAGCACCGGCUAACUCCGUGCCAGCAGCCGCGGUAAUACGGAGGGUGCAAGCGUUAAUCGGAAUUACUGGGCGUAAAGCGCACGUAGGCUGCUUUGUAAGUCAGGGGUGAAAUCCCACGGCUCAACCGUAGAACUGCCUUUGAUACUGCUUAGCUUGAAUCCGGGAGAGGGUGGCGGAAUUCCAGGUGUAGGAGUGAAAUCCGUAGAUAUCUGGAGGAACAUCAGUGGCGAAGGCGGCCACCUGGACCGGUAUUGACGCUGAGGUGCGAAAGCGUGGGGAGCAAACAGG